rnacentral:rRNA from 1 species
CUACGGGGCGCACCAGUGAGGAAUACUGCACAAUGGGGGGAACCCUGAUGCAGCAACGCCGCGUGGAGGAUGACGCAUUUCGGUGUGUAAACUCCUUUUAUAUGUCAAGAAAAUGACGGUAGCAUAUGAAUAAGCACCGGCUAACUCCGUGCCAGCAGCCGCGGUAAUACGGAGGGGUGCAAGCGUUACUCGGAAUCACUGGGCGUAAAGGACGCGUAGGCGGGUUGGAAAGUCAGGUGUGAAAUCCUACAGCUUAACUGUAGAACUGCACUUGAAACUUCUAAUCUAGAGUAUGGGAGGGGGAGAUGGAAUUAGUGGUGUAGGGGUAAAAUCCGUAGAUAUCACUAGGAAUACCUAAAGCGAAGGCGAUCUCCUGGAACAUUACUGACGCUAAGGCGUGAAAGCGUGGGGAGCAAACAGGAUUAGAUACCCUGGUAGUC